rnacentral:rRNA from 1 species
GAUGAACGCUGGCGGCGUGCCUAAUACAUGCAAGUCGAGCGAACGGACGAGAAGCUUGCUUCUCUGAUGUUAGCGGCGGACGGGUGAGUAACACGUGGAUAACCUACCUAUAAGACUGGGAUAACUUCGGGAAACCGGAGCUAAUACCGGAUAAUAUUUUGAACCGCAUGGUUCAAAAGUGAAGGACGGUCUUGCUGUCACUUAUAGAUGGAUCCGCGCUGCAUUAGCUAGUUGGUAAGGUAACGGCUUACCAAGGCAACGAUGCAUAGCCGACCUGAGAGGGUGAUCGGCCACACUGGAACUGAGACACGGUCCAGACUCCUACGGGAGGCAGCAGUAGGGAAUCUUCCGCAAUGGGCGAAAGCCUGACGGAGCAACGCCGCGUGAGUGAUGAAGGUCUUCGGAUCGUAAAACUCUGUUAUUAGGGAAGAACAUAUGUGUAAGUAACUGUGCACAUCUUGACGGUACCUAAUCAGGAAGCCACGGCUAACUACGCG